rnacentral:tRNA from 1 species
GCCUGGGUGGCUCAAUUGGUUAAGCAUCUGACUUCGGCUCAGGUCAUGAUCUCACAGCUUGUGGGUUCGAGCCCCACAUUGGGCU